ACUCCUACGGGGAGGCAGCAGUGGGGAAUAUUGCACAAUGGGCGCAAGCCUGAUGCAGCCAUGCCGCGUGUGUGAAGAAGGCCUUCGGGUUGUAAAGCACUUUCAGUCGUGAGGAAGGUAGUGUAGUUAAUAGCUGCAUAUUUGACGUUUAGCGACAGAAGAAGCACCGGCUAACUCCGUGCCAGCAGCCGCGGUAAUACGGAGGGUGCGAGCGUUAAUCGGAAUUACUGGGCGUAAAGCGCAUGCAGGUGGUUUGUUAAGUCAGAUGUGAAAGCCCGGGGCUCAACCUCGGAAAUUGCAUUUGGAAAACUGGCAAGACUAGAGUACUGUAGAGGGGGGUAGAAUUUCAGGUGUAGCGGUGAAAUGCGUAG
rnacentral:rRNA from 1 species